UGUGGUGAGUGAGAUGGAAGAUAAAACGCACCCACUUUCAAAAAUAGUUGGAGUAAAAGUGUGAGAUUGAGGUUAAAAUGGACUUACUUUCGAAAAACAGUUGGAGUAAAAGUGUGAGAUGGAGCAUAAAACACACUCACAAUGAAAUAAAAAGAAAGAACAUGAAUAAUAAUCUAUUCCUCUAGUCAAAUGGCUACGAGUAGCGUUAGUAGCCAUUUAAAACUUGUGACCAACUGAGUAACCAGGUGCAUUCAUCACAAAUGUUUACCCUUGCGUUAAAAGGUUGGUGACAUUUUAAGCAAGCAAAGUGCUCAAGCUUUUCUAUUUUUGGCGUGAACCAACUGCAUGAAUCCUUUUAUUUGGACAGGUUUGGUGGCUGUUCUACUAGGUAUUGGCUAUUCCACUCAAUGAAUAAUUGUGGGAGAGUUUGAUAGUGCCUAAAAAUGACAUCAUUAUGACCCACUUUUCGGUUUAAUU
rnacentral:lncRNA from 1 species